rnacentral:rRNA from 1 species
ACGUAGGAUGCAAGCGUUAUCCGGAUUUAUUGGGUUUAAAGGGUGCGUAGGCGGAAUAAUAAGUCAGUGGUGAAAUCUCCCGGCUUAACCGGGAAACUGCCAUAGAUACUGUUAUUCUUGAGUAUAUUUGACGUGGGCGGAAUGUGUCAUGUAGCGGUGAAAUGCUUAGAUAUGACACAGAACACCGAUUGCGAAGGCAGCUCACGAAACUAUAACUGACGCUGAGGCACGAAAGCGUGGGGAUCAAACAG